rnacentral:rRNA from 1 species
GACGAACGCUGGCGGCGUGCUUAACACAUGCAAGUCGAACGGAAAGGCCCUGCUUUUGUGGGGUGCUCGAGUGGCGAACGGGUGAGUAACACGUGAGUAACCUGCCCUUGACUUUGGGAUAACUUCAGGAAACUGGGGCUCAUACCGGAUAGGAGCUCCUGCUGCAUGGUGGGGGUUGGAAAGUUUCGGCGGUUGGGGAUGGACUCGCGGCUUAUCAGCUUGUUGGUGGGGUAGUGGCUUACCAAGGCUUUGACGGGUAGCCGGCCUGAGAGGGUGACCGGCGACAUUGGGACUGAGAUACGGCCCAGACUCGUACGGGAGGCAGCAGUGGGGAAUAUUGCACAAUGGGCCGAAGCCUGAUGCAGCAACGCCGCGUGCGUGAUGACCGCCUUCGGGUUGUAAACCGCUUUCGCCUGUGACGAAGCGUGAGUGACGGUAAUGGGUAAAGAAGCACCGGCUAACUACGUG